GCCCAGCUGGCUCAGUUGAUAGAGCAUGUGACUCUUGAUAUUGGGGUUGUGAGUUCGAGUCCCAUGUUGGGUG
rnacentral:tRNA from 1 species